GUACCUGCUUCGGCGGUACAUGUACUAAAAUUGGAACGAUACAGAGAAGAUUAGCAUGGCCGUAAUAGAAGAUUAGCAUGGCCGUAAAAAAAACCGUAAGUACUAAGUUUUU